AGUGGCGAACGGGUGAGGAACACGUGAGAAACCUGCCCCAGACUUUGGGAUAACAGUUGGAAACGACUGCUAAUACCGAAUGACGUCGGAGAGUCACAUGACUUUCUGACGAAAGGAAUUCCGAUUCGAGAGGGUCUCGCGGCCUAUCAGCUUGUUGGGGAGGUAACGGCUCACCAAGGCUUCGACGGGUAGCUGGUCUGAGAGGAUGAUCAGCCACACUGGAACUGAGACACGGUCCAGACUCC
rnacentral:rRNA from 1 species